GAUGAACGCUGGCGGCGUGCUUAACACAUGCAAGUCGAACGAAGCACUUUAUUUGAUUUCCUUCGGGACUGAUUAUUUUGUGACUGAGUGGCGGACGGGUGAGUAACGCGUGGGUAACCUGCCUUGUACAGGGGGAUAACAGUUGGAAACGGCUGCUAAUACCGCAUAAGCGCACGGCAUCGCAUGAUGCAGUGUGAAAAACUCCGGUGGUAUAAGAUGGACCCGCGUUGGAUUAGCUAGUUGGUGAGGUAACGGCCCACCAAGGCGACGAUCCAUAGCCGACCUGAGAGGGUGACCGGCCACAUUGAGACUGAGACACGGCCCAAACUCCUACGGGAGGCAGCAGUGGGGAAUAUUGCACAAUGGGCGAAAGCCUGAUGCAGCGACGCCGCGUGAGCGAAGAAGUAUUUCGGUAUGUAAAGCUCUAUCAGCAGGGAAGAUAAUGACGGUACCUGACUAAGAAGCACCGGCUAAAUACGUG
rnacentral:rRNA from 1 species